rnacentral:tRNA from 1 species
GCUCAGUGGUAGAGUGCCUGCCUUGCAUGUAGGAGGCCCUGGGUUCAAUCCUCAG